UACGUAGGGUGCGAGCGUUGUCCGGAAUUAUUGGGCGUAAAGAGCUCGUAGGCGGUGUGUCACGUCGUUCGUGAAAACCUGCAGCUUAACUGUGGGCGUGCGGUCGAUACGGGCAUCACUGGAGUUCGGCAGGGGAGACUGGAAUUCCUGGUGUAGCGGUGAAAUGCGCAGAUAUCGGGAGGAACACCGGUGGCGAAGGCGGUUCUCUGGGCCGAUACUGACGCUGAGGAGCGAAAGCGUGGGGAGCGAACAGG
rnacentral:rRNA from 1 species